AGUUUGAUCCUGGCUCAGGACGAACGCUGGCGGCGUGCUUAACACAUGCAAGUCGAACGAUGAAGCCCUUCGGGGUGGAUUAGUGGCGAACGGGUGAGUAACACGUGGGCAAUCUGCCCUUCACUCUGGGACAAGCCCUGGAAACGGGGUCUAAUACCGGAUAACACUCUGUCCCUCAUGGGGCGGGGUUAAAAGCUCCGGCGGUGAAGGAUGAGCCCGCGGCCUAUCAGCUUGUUGGUGGGGUAAUGGCCUACCAAGGCGACGACGGGUAGCCGGCCUGAGAGGGCGACCGGCCACACUGGGACUGAGACACGGCCCAGACUCCUACGGGAGGCAGCAGUGGGGAAUAUUGCACAAUGGGCGAAAGCCUGAUGCAGCGACGCCGCGUGAGGGAUGACGGCCUUCGGGUUGUAAACCUCCUUUCAGCAGGGAAGAAGCG
rnacentral:rRNA from 1 species